rnacentral:tRNA from 1 species
AUUUAAUUAGUUUAAUUAAAAUAGUGAUUUGUGGGGUCAAUGAUAUGUUUGUCAUAUUAAAUU